rnacentral:lncRNA from 1 species
GUUAACAUGUAGAGUAGCAUAGUGUCCUACUGUAUGUACUGUAACCCAUGUUAACAUGUAGAGUAGCAUAGUGUCCUACUAUAACCCAUGUUUACAUGUAGAGUAGCAUAGUGUCCUACUGUAUGUACUGUAACCCAUGUUAACAUGUAGAGUAGCAUAGUGUCCUACUGUAUGUACUGUAACCCAUGUUAACAUGUAGAGUAGCAUAGUGUCCUACUGUAUGUACUGUAACCCAUGUUUACAUGUAGAGUAGCAUAGUGUCCUACUGUAUGUACUGUAACCCAUGUUAACAUGUAGAGUAGCAUAGUGUCCUACUGUAUGUACUGUAACCCAUGUUAACAUGUAGAGUAGCAUAGUGUCCUACUGUAUGUACUGUAACCCAUGUUAACAUGUAGAGUAGCAUAGUGUCCUACUGUAUGUACUGUAACCCAUGUUAACAUGUAGAGUAGCAUAGUGUCCUACUGUAACGCAUGUUAACAUGUAGAGUAGCAUAGUGUCCUACUGUAACCCAUGUUAACAUGUAGAGUAGCAUAGUGUCCUACUGUAACCCAUGUUAACAUGUAGAGUAGCAUAGUGUCCUACUGUAACCCAUGUUAACAUGUAGAGUAGCAUAGUGUCCUACUGUAUGUACUGUAACCCAUGUUAACAUGUAGAGUAGCAUAGUGUCCUACUGUAACCCAUGUUAACAUGUAGAGUAGCAUAGUGUCCUACUGUAACCCAUGUUAACAUGUAGAGUAGCAUAGUGUCCUACUGUAACCCAUGUUAACAUGUAGAGUAGCAUAGUGUCCUACUGUAACCCAUGUUAACAUGUAGAGUAGCAUAGUGUCCUACCGUAUGUACUGUAACCCAUGUUAACAUGUAGAGUAGCAUAGUGUCCUACCGUAUGUACUGUAACCCAUGUUAACAUGUAGAGUAGCAUAGUGUCCUACUGUAACCCAUGUUAACAUGUAGAGUAGCAUAGUGUCCUACUGUAACCCAUGUUAACAUGUAGAGUAGCAUAGUGUCCUACUGUAACCCAUGUUAACAUGUAGAGUAGCAUAGUGUCCUACUGUAACCCAUGUUAACAUGUAGAGUAGCAUAGUGUCCUACUGUAACCCAUGUUAACAUGUAGAGUAGCAUAGUGUCCUACAUGUUCUACUGUAACCCAUGUUAACAUGUAGAGUAGCAUAGUGUCCUACUGUAACCCAUGUUAACAUGUAGAGUAGCAUAGUGUCCUACUGUAACCCAUGUUAACAUGUAGAGUAGCAUAGUGUCCUACUGUAACCCAUGUUAACAUGUAGAGUAGCAUAGUGUCCUACUGUAACCCAUGUUAACAUGUAGAGUAGCAUAGUGUCCUACUGUAACCCAUGUUAACAUGUAGAGUAGCAUAGGGUCCUACUGUAUGUACUGUAACCCAUGUUUACAUGUAGAGUAGAAUAGUGUCCUACUGUAUGUACUGUAACCCAUGUUAACAUGUAGAGUAGCAUAGUGUCCUACUGUAUGUACUGUAACCCAUGUUAACAUGUAGAGUAGCAUAGUGUCCUACUGUAUGUACUGUAACCCAUGUUAACAUGUAGAGUAGCAUAGUGUCCUAAUGUAUGUACUGUAACCCAUGUUAACAUGUUGAGUAGCAUAGUGUCCUACUGUAACCCAUGUUUACAUGUAGAGUAGCAUAGUGUCCUACUGUAACCCAUGUUAACAUGUAGAGUAGCAUAGUGUCCUACUGUAUGUACUGUAACCCAUGUUAACAUGUAGAGUAGCAUAGUGUCCUAAUGUAUGUACUGUAACCCAUGUUAACAUGUAGAGUAGCAUAGUGUCCUACUGAAUGUACUGUAACCCAUGUUUACAUGUAGAGUAGCAUAGUGUCCUACUGUAACCCAUGUUAACAUGUAGAGUAGCAUAGUGUUCCAACUGUAUGUACUGUAACCUAUGUUAACAUGUAGAGUAGCAUAGUGUCCUACUGUAACCCAUGUUAACAUGUAGAGUAGCAUAGUGUCCUACUGUAUGUACUGUAACCCAUGUUAACAUGUAGAGUAGCAUAGUGUCCUACUGUAUGUACUGUAACCCAUGUUAACAUGUAGAGUAGCAUAGUGUCCUACUGUAUGUACUGUAACCCAUGUUAACAUGUAGAGUAGCAUAGUGUCCUACUGUAACCCAUGUUAACAUGUAGAGUAGCAUAGUGUAAAACUCACUAUAUAGAACUAGACAUAUUGGAUAGACACCAUACCUGGAUGUAUUGGUGCCAGAGUUCCCUGACCCCAUAGUGUAAAACUCACUAUAUAGAACUAGACAUAUUGGAUAGACACCAUACCUGGAUGUAUUGGUGCCAGAGUUCCCUGACCCCAUAGUGUAAAACUCACUAUAUAGAACUAGACAUAUUGGAUAGACACCAUACCUGGAUGUAUUGGUGCCAGAGUUCCCUGACCCCAUAGUGUAAAACUCACUAUAUAGAACUAGACAUAUUGGAUAGACACCAUACCUGGAUGUAUUGGUGCCAGAGUUCCCUGACCCCAUAGUGUAAAACUCACUAUAUAGAACUAGACAUAUUGGAUAGACACCAUACCUGGAUGUAUUCGUGCCAGAGUUCCCUGACCCCAUAGUGUAAAACUCACUAUAUAGAACUAGACAUAUUGGAUAGACAUCAUACGUGGACGUAUUGGUGGCGGAGUUCCUUGACCCGCUCACUGUUCCUUUCAAAGGGAACUGUGUGCAACUGUUUCAUUCCAACUCUGUGUUCAAAUGUUUCAGGUAGCCUUCCACAAGCUUCCCACAAUAAGUGGGUGAAUUUUGGCCCAUUUCUCCUGACAGAGCUGGUGUAACUGAGUUAGGUUUGUAGGCCUCCUUGCUCGCAUGUGCUUUUUCAGUUCUGCCCACAAAUGUUCUAUGGGAUUGAGGUCAAGGCUUUGUGAUGGCCACUCCAAUACAUUGACUUUGUUGUCCUUAAGCCAUUUUUCCACAACUUUGGAAGUACGCUCGUAUGGGCGGCAGGUAGCCUAGUGGUUAGAGCGCUGAAAGUAUGGGCGGCAGGUAGCCUAAUGGUUAGAGCGUUGGACUAGUAACCAAAAGGUUGUAAGAUUGAAUCCCUGAGCUGACAAGGUAAAACAUCUGUUGUUCUGCCCCUGAACAAGGCAGUUAACCCACUGUUCCUAGGCCAUCAUUGAAAAUAAGAAUUUGUUCUUAACUGACUUGCCUAGUUAAAUAAAGGUUAAAAAAAAUUGUCCAUUUGGAAGACCCAAGCUUUAACUUCCUGACUGAUGUCUUGAGAUGUUGCUUCAAUAUAUCCACAUACUUUUCCUUCCACAUGAUGCCAUCGAUUUUGUGAAGUGCAGCAAAGCACCCCCACAACAUGAUGCUGCCACCUCCGUGCUUCAUAGUUGGGAUGGUGUACUUCGGCUUGCAAGCCUCGCCCUUUUUCCUCCAAACAUAAUGAGGGUCAUUAUGGCCAAACAGUUCUAUUUUUGUUUCAUCAGACCAGAGGACAUUUCUCCAAAAAGUACAAUCUUUGCCCCCAUGUGCAGUUGCAAACCGUAGUCUGGCUUUUUUAUGGCGGUUUUGUAGCAGUGGCUUCUUCUUUGCUGAGCGGCCUUUCAGGUUAUGUCGAUAUAGGACUCAUUUUACUGUGGAUAUAGAUACUUUUGCACCCGUUUCCUCCAGCAUCUUCACAAGGUCCUUUGCUGUUGUUCUGGGAUUGAUAUGCACCAAAGUACGUUCAUCUCUAGGGGACAGAACACGUCUCCUUUCUAAGCGAUAUGACGGCUGCGUGGUCCCAUGGUGUUUAUACUUGCAUACUAUUGUUUGUACAGAUGAACGUGGUACCUUCAGGCGUUUGGAAAUUGCUCCCAAGGAUGAACCAGACUUAUGGUGGUCUACCAUUUCUUUUGAUUUUCCUAUGAUGUCAAGCAAAGAGGCACUGGGUUUGAAGGUAGGCCUUGAAAUACAUCCACAGGUACACCUCCAAUUGACUCAAAUUAUGUCAAUUAGCCUAUCAGAAGCUUCUAGAGCCAUGACAUUUUCUGGAAUUUUCCAAGCAGUUUAAAGGCACAGUCAACUUAGUGUAUAUGUAAACUUCUGACCCACUAGAAUUGUGAUACAGUGAAUUAUAAGUGAAAUAAUCUGUCUGUAAACAAUUGUCAUGCACAAAGUAGAUGUCCUAACCUACUUGCCAAAACUAUAGUUUGUUAAGUGGUUGAAAAAUUGAGUUUUAAUGACUCCAACCUAAGUGUAUGUAAACUUCUGACUUCAACUGUACAUAUGGACGAGCGAUGUCAGAGCAGAACAGUCUAAGAUACAGUAGAAUAGUGUAGAAAAACAGUAUAUACAUAUGAGAUGAGUAAUGCAAGAUAUGGAAGCAUUUUUAAGUGAAUGAGAUACUGUAGAAUAGUAUAGAAAAACAGUAUAUACAUGUGAGAUGAGUAAUGCCAGAUAUGUAAACAUUAUUAAAGUGACUAGUGUUCCAUUUCUUAAAAUGGCCAGUGAUUUCUAGUCUAUGCCUAUAGGCAGCAGCCUCUAAUGUCCUAGUGAUGGCUGUUUAACAGUCUGAUGGCCUUGAGAUAGAGACUGUUUUUCAGUCUCUCAGUCCCCGCUUUGAUGCACCUGUUCUGACCUCGCCUGGAUGAUAGCGGGAUGUACAGGCAGUGGCUUGGGUUGUUGAUGUCCAUGAUGAUCUUUUUGGCCUUCCUGUGACAUCGGGUGCUGUAGG